GCCUGGAAACCUUCUGAAACACACAGACGCAUUCCCUCCUCAUUGUGGAGCAUCAGGAAAGUAGCUCUCCUCACUCGUCAGAGAAUAAGCAAAAGGUUAAGUCAAGUCUUGGUUGUGCUCUGAAUAUAAUUUGGACAUCACAGACUCCCUGAGAAAACUGCUGACUCUUUGAGAGAUGCCGGGUUGCCCUGCCAAUUGCCACUAAAAUGAAGCUCAUUUGGUUUGGCAGGAAAAGUUUCUACGAGGAAUGAAAGGAAAUGACAAUCCUAAAAUAAAUCAAGGACGUAAAGAAGUUGGUGUCUGGGUAAUUUACAGUGGGACACUCGACACAGCAGGAAGUGGGGAGUAGAUAGUGUCAGAGCAGCUGGAACACCUGGAGAAACCUUACACUUGGAAGAAGUCUUGGAUUCAACAUCUUUAUCACUUUACUACGUGGGAAGGCCCCUCAGAGUUGCUGCAAGUUGAGGGGUCACUUCCUCAGUGACCAUUUCACCAGUGGCCAAAUGCAAUCCUCCCUGGGGAAGGUGUGUGAUCUUGGCUGAGGCAGCAUUCUUCAUCUGAUGGUCAGUCCUGGAGAGGAAUUCGGCUGAGAGGUUUCAUGUGGUGUGUCCGAAGCUGCUGUGGGAAGGUGUGCCUCAGUCCUGCAGAGAGGAGCUUCUGACUCCCAGGGCAUCCACUAGAGACGUUUGCCUAAGUCUGGUGAGAAAUCAGGGCAAGGUUUUCAGCCUGAGAGUAAAUAUAUAUAUUUGUUUGUUUGUUUUUUUGGAAGAGAUUGUUUCUGCUGCUGCAUGGAGAGUGGAUUGGGAAGGUGGCAAGAUUGGCUCCAGAGAUAUCAGUUAGGAAACUGCAGGAGGAACUUGGCAGCAGAUCACAAUAGGUUGGACCAGGUGGUCACAAAGGAGAUAGUUACCCAAGUAACAAUAGAUCAGAUAUGAGAAAGAGACCUGGCAGUGAAUUGAUUGGAAUGAUGGAUUCAACGUAACCGCGAGUUAUUGGCUGGAGCUCUGUGAGGACGGUGAGGCCUUUUGCUGAGCUAUAUAACUGAACAGGAGAAUAGCCUUGAGUUCGAGUCAGCCAUGCUGAAUUUGAGAUAUUCAAACAGCAAAGCAAUAGGCUAUGCAAUUCUACAGCUCAGGAAAGAUGUCUGGAAAGUGGAUGUUCAUGUUACCACUGUUGCAUUCCAUCAUGAGGUGGCCUAGAAGAGACUGUGGAAUACGGAGAGAACUGAAAAAGAAGCACAGAGCAGACCCCAUAUUUCAAAAUGAAGGGAGAGAUGAGUUACUACCUAAAACAGAAGACAACUGGAAGAAUGAAGCACAACAUGACAUUUUGAAGAUUCACUAUCAUUAACGGAAACUUCAUAAGGUGGACAACUUCAGUUAUGCAAAGUUUGCCCUCCAUCCUGGGAAGAAGUACAAAUCCUUCUACGUGGAAGACAUUCCUUACUGGAGCACUAAUUAUGGUGGUGUCAGAGGACUGACCACUGAUUCAUGCCAGGACUGCUGUGACAGGCCUCCUUAGCUUCUCUCUACCGAUGGAGGGCAUUUAUUUCCAGAGCAAAAUAAUUGCUGAAAGUGCAAGAUUCUUCUCAAUAAAGUUGCUAUGACAUUCUUUGAAUGAC